UCUUCCGAUAUUGUGAUCACAAUCUCGGAGAAAUCCGGCGACAAAUUUCGAAUCUUUCGGCUAUCCGUCCUGUUUCAGACGUCGGGGAAGGUAUUGUAUUUGUAAGAGGGUUUUUGACUGAUUAAACUGUCAUGAGAUUCAGAAAAGGAAGUGAAGUCGAGGUAUUCAGCAGUGACGGGGCACCUUAUGGUGCUUGGCUACGUGCUGAGAUUAUCUCGGGUAAUGGGCACAUGUACAUGGUUAGGUUUGAUACUUUCCGAUUUGCCAAAGAUGAGGUGGUUGUGGAGAGAUUUCCGAGGAAGAAUAUUAGACCGUGCCCUCCACAAGUGGAAGUAGCCAGAUGGGAAUCUGGUGAAUUGGUGGAGGUUCUUGAAGAUUUUUCCUGGAAAAUUGCCACAGUCCUCAAGGCUCUAGGUGGAAGUUAUUAUCGGGUUCGCUUGCUCGGUGCUUCUGCAGAAUUUGAAGUCCACAAAGUUGACAUCAGGGUUCGACAAUCUUGGCAAGAUGACAGAUGGUUUCUGAUUGGAAAGGUUUCUGGUUCUUUGAAAUCCUCUACACUGACAGGAUCGGAUGUUCAUCAGAAGCCUCAGGCCCUUUUGAACAAUCCUCUUUUGCGGGAGCCUAGGGUUGCCUCUUCUAAAAUGUUAAAGAGGGUGUCACCUUAUUGCUGGUCGGAGUGUGCUGAAUCAUGCACGGGGAACCCCAGGAAGAAACGAUCGGUUGAGAAAGAGGGUGAACAACACCGUUAUCCUUCCUUAUCAUUGCAAAAGGUAGAUGCUGUUGCUUGCCGAUCUGAAAAUUUGGGUAAAAAACGCGCUCAAGGUUCCUUUAAGAAUGACAAAAAUGGUUGCUGUGAAAUGGUCAGGGUAAGAUCAAAUGGGUUGAAUGAGUGUGUUCGUGCAGGAAACACAGAAGCUAAUGGUUAUGAUAGUGAUGCAUGCUCGGUUGGUAGUUGUAGCGUUGUUAGUUAUAACGAGAGUAAUAUGCCAACUUGUAUGCUAGACGGGGCUAAUCAAGAUGCAGAUCCUGCUAGUAGUGAUGCUGAAUCUUCAAGUGGACAUGGAGAAGAAAGACAGAAUUCUUUGGCAGAUGAUGAAGCGGCAGAAAGGUCCCAUCGAUCUGAAUUAUACACUUACCGCAGUACUUUGGGAGAAUUAUUUGCUUCUGGGCCCUUAAGUUGGGAACAAGAAGCAUCACUAACUGAUCUGCGACUGUCCCUUAAUAUAUCAGAUGCUGAACACUUGACGGAGCUAAGAAAUCUAAUAUCUGCUGGUUCCCGCAGUCAUAAUUGUUAGCAUCAAACAUGGUUCACUCUUUUCUUUUCUUUGAUUCUUAUUGUCAAAGUCUUAUCCUUUUUCUUGGCCAUACUUGCCUGCAUCGAAGAAUCAACUGUCAUAUGUGUUCUUUUUACCGAGGAAUUUUAUAUUGAAUGUAUAGACAGCAGAAACUUGCUACCUGAAUAGUAUGUACGGAAACACCAUCUAGAAUGAAAUUGUUCAAGGCAUGUUGCGGUGUUUUUUUUUUCCUUUUACUUUGUCUACUUUUUGUUUAAGUUGUUUUGGUACAUUUUAUCCCAUAUUCUCCAAUUGUAAAAGAUCAAGCAAACGUAUUUUAGCUUCUGAUUGCUGUAUCUGCCAUCUUUCUCCCUUUUAGUGAUGCCUUCACUUGUAGAGUCUGAUCAUUUUGAUAAUGCCGCUUCGGACAUCAAUGAUCUUCUCCUACGUUUUUCAGGAGCAGUGUCGGGGGCCUGCAGACCUUGCUUCUAGAGAACUAACUCUGAUACUGGGGUAAAACGGCUUCCCCUUUGCCGUUUGAAUGGUGCAAUACCGUUCCUGUUCUUCUGCAAAACCAGAUAACUGACGUUAUAUACUGUUUAUUCCUUCUCGCUAUCGAGAUGUUAUGGUUCGUUUCAGGUGUUUCGGACUCAACCUUGUCCACAUGGCUUAGAAGACUGAACUUUGUGCAGGUUCCAGUCUAUGUUUUGCCGAUUUUCUCUAAAAUUCUGGCUAUGUUUUCUUGGGCAUGACUGUGGUUAUUGGCUCUUAGCUUUCUUAACACAUGCUAUGUCGUCGCUUACAGGAAUAGAAAGCUGUACUGUUUCACAUACCUUUGUCUUAUUCUGGGUGUUAUUGCCUGAUGCGUAAGUAUGAAACCAUAGUCGUCCUAGGUUUGUCUUCAUGAUGCUGUGUCCGAUUAAGAAGAGCAUAGAUAUGUUUUCGAUGAUAUGUCUCGAUUCCAUAGAAUGUAGUCAUCUGAUCCUGAUUAUUUUUCAUGGUCUAUAGUUCAUAAAAUCAAAUGGAAAGUGGAAACAUGCACGUCAUGUUUCAUUAGUUUGUGGCACUUGCGUUCUGGUCAUGCUUUGCAUGAACUAUCUUGGCGAGCCAAAGUCUCCAACUCUGGCGACGCUGAAGUUAUUGGACUUUCGGGGUUAUGAAACUCCCGAGCUGAUUACGCUCCAGGUUGUACAAAGGCCGAGAAUUCCUCAGACCACGCAAGUAACUCAAAUGGGUUUAACCGGGGAAUUCAGAAAACCCCAUCAGGAUUCAUAUUGGCAGAAUUGGAAUGGAGUUCUGGAAUGGCGACUGUACGAAUGGUGAUCGUAAAAUGCCUGUGGGAUUCCGUUAGGGUUCUUGGAAGAAUUGAGCAGAUUUUUCAUGGCUUUGAUCGGAGCAGGCUCGGGGGUGAUAAAUCAGGACGCCCGUGGCAGGGAUUUUGGCUUUGUCGAUGUAUAUAGCGACACAGAUGAUCAGAAACUCCAGUUGGGACCAGACGGACCAUUGAUGUUCACGGUUCCAACAGUUGAAAUAUUUCGAACGUUGGUUAAACGCUGUGAUGAAUUCUAGUUUCUAACAUUGGUUAAAAUUUGCAUUUUAUUAUGUCAUGUCAACUAAAUUCGUUUA